rnacentral:rRNA from 1 species
GACGAACGCUGGCGGCGUGCUUAACACAUGCCAGUCGAACGGAAAGGCCCUGCUUUUGUGGGGUGCUCGAGUGGCGAACGGGUGAGUAACACGUGAGUAACCUGCCUUUGACUUUGGGAUAACUUCAGGAAACUGGGGCUAAUACCGGAUAGGAGCUCCUGCUGCAUGGUGGGGGUUGGAAAGUUUCGGCGGUUGGGGAUGGACUCGCGGCUUAUCAGCUUGUUGGUGGGGUAGUGGCUUACCAAGGCUUUGACGGGUAGCCGGCCUGAGAGGGUGACCGGCCACAUUGGGACUGAGAUACGGCCCAGACUCCUACGGGAGGCAGCAGUGGGGAAUAUUGCACAAUGGGCGGAAGCCUGAUGCAGCAACGCCGCGUGCGGGAUGACGGCCUUCGGGUUGUAAACCGCUUUCGCCUGUGACGAAGCGUGAGUGACGGUAAUGGGUAAAGAAGCACCGGCUAACUAC